UCACGUCGCAACUCAACACCAAGAUGUCGGUCUGAGGAGGCAAAUUAGAAAGACACAAAGACGAGAGCCAUGUAAGGGCCCUGGCUGCCUGUGACACUCAAC